rnacentral:rRNA from 1 species
CCUCCGGGUGGCUGCAGUGAGGAAUAUUGGUCAAUGGGCGGGAGCCUGAACCAGCCAAGCCGCGUGAGGGAAGAAGGUACAGCGUAUCGUAAACCUCUUUUGUCAGGGAACAAAGGCGGGGACUAGUCCCCGGAUGAGGGUACCUGAAGAAAAAGCAUCGGCUAACUCCGUGCCAGCAGCCGCGGUAAUACGGAGGAUGCGAGCGUUAUCCGGAUUUAUUGGGUUUAAAGGGUGCGCAGGCGGCCCGUUAAGUCAGCGGUCAAAGCCCGGGGCUCAACCCCGUAGAGCCUUUGAAACUGGGGGGCUGGAGUUGGAGAGAAGCACGCGGAAUGCGUGGUGUAGCGGUGAAAUGCUUAGAUAUCGCGCAGAACCCCGAUUGCGAAGGCAGCGUACCGGCUCCAAACUGACGCUGAGGCACGAAAGCGUGGGUAUCGAACAGGAUUAGAUACCCUUGUAGUC